rnacentral:lncRNA from 1 species
GGAGAGAGUUCAAUGCAAAGAACUCCAUUCUUCCCUUCUCCCAGGGUGAGGAUAACACCAUAAAUGUGCUUUCCAGAGGCACAUUUUUAGCACUGUCUCUGGAUAAGUUUAAUUAGAGAGAAGAGACUAUCAUGAAAAACUUUUAUUCAGUGACCUAGAACCAAAGAAAAUGAGAAUGACCAGAAAAGGGACAGUUGGUAUUCAGUUAUUUGAUUCUUGUUCUUGUUGGCUUUUUGGAUCCUCUCCUCUGUCGACUUUUCCAUGGAUGCACUUUUACAUGCUGCAGAACUGAGUUUCCACCUAUUUUCUGUAACCAUCUUAUGUAAACGCAGUUUCAGCCAGAAGCAAUGCCUUGGUGAUUCAUACAACUUUCUGGGAUCUUUUGAUUAACAGAGAAAAAGUCAUAAGAUCAGCAAGAAGAGAAACUGUAGAUUUGCCUCAACUCAACAUGUUAAGUAAUCGCCUGACAUCUACAUAAGACCACCUCUUGGCACCUGGCUACACAAGCUGAAAUGGUAAAACUCCUUGAGAAACCACACAAGGAUGGAAUACUUGCUUAGAGACAUGAGAGUAGCCUAGAAUCUAAGAAUCUGUACUUCCUUCUACAGUUGUCUUUGGAAAAAGAAUAGACAUUCAUGGCAGACCAAAGAUCACUCUCUGAAGAACAACUGUGAAGAUGAAAUGAAGUAAUAAUUUAAAUGAAUUAUAAAGAAAGACCAUUUUAUAAAUGUGAGAUGCCAUGUAAUGCCUUGACUUCCUUGACUUACUAUAAGGGGUGUUAUGUGAGAAAUCCACACAGGAGAAACCCAAGAAAACCACGCAGGUAAAUGCUAGCCUGGAAAGACAGAGGGAAAACAUGCCAAGUGGAGCCCACCACAAGGACAGCAGUCAGAGCCCAAGAGCCCAGCUUUAAAAGGGCUGCAUACCAAAAGGAACAAAAGCACAAAACAAACAAACAAACAAACAAACAAGCAAAUGAUGGUGGAAACUAUUUUCAAAACUUCCCUGUUCUGGUAAAGACGUUUUCAGAGCUCAAACUAGUCCUGCUGAAAAUAUUUUUUAAAAUAUGAAAGCAUAGCGGAAAAUUUGUAUGAAAAAGAAAAAAGAAAAAGAAGGAGGAGGAAGAAGAAGAAGAAAGAAGAAAAAGGAGAGGAAGAAGAAGAAGGAGGAGGAGGAGAAGAAGAGGAGGAGGAGGAGGAGGAAAUGGCAGAGACAAUGUAUGUCCCAGAAAGCCUAAAAUGUGUACUGUUUGUCCGUUUAUAGAAAAAGUGUGCCAGUCCCUACUCUGUUCCCAAUUUUAAAAACAAAUAAAUAAAAAGAAAAACAAGCAAGUCUCUCAGCCAAGAAAGAAUCGAUGGGAACUUUUUCAACUUUAUAAAGUGGAUCUACAAAAAACUACAACUAACACUAACGUCACACCUAAUGGUGAAAGUCUGAAUGUUUUCCCUCUAAGACUAGGAAAAGGUGGCAUGGAUGUCCACUCUCCCUACUCUAUUCAGCAUUGUAUCAAAAGUUCUUAUCAGUGAAAUAAGACAAGAAAACAAUAAAUGGCAUCCAUAUUGGAAAAGAAGUAACACUGUCUUUAUUUGCAGAUGACAUUAUAAUCUAAAUAGAAAAUCUUAUGGAAUCUGCUAAAAAGCUAAUAGAACCAAUAAGCGAGUUUAGCAUAGUUACAAGACACAACAUAUAAAAAUUAAUUAUAUUUCAAAAUACUAGCAAUGAACAAUUAAAUUUUCCUUUUAAAAUUUUCAACAACAUCAAGACAUGAACCACUGGGGGAUAAACCCCAUGAAACAUGGCAGAAAAAAAUUCAGGAA